UACGAGGGGGGCUAGCGUUGCUCGGAAUCACUGGGCGUAAAGGGUGCGUAGGCGGGUUCUUAAGUCAGAGGUGAAAUCCUGGAGCUCAACUCCAGAACUGCCUUUGAUACUGAGAGUCUUGAGUUCGGGAGAGGUGAGUGGAACUGCGAGUGUAGAGGUGAAAUUCGUAGAUAUUCGCAAGAACACCAGUGGCGAAGGCGGCUCACUGGCCCGAUACUGACGCUGAGGCACGAAAGCGUGGGGAGCAAACAGG
rnacentral:rRNA from 1 species